AUUGAACGCUGGCGGCAGGCCUAACACAUGCAAGUCGAACGGUAGCACAGAGGAGCUUGCUCCUUGGGUGACGAGUGGCGGACGGGUGAGUAAUGUCUGGGAAACUGCCCGAUGGAGGGGGAUAACUACUGGAAACGGUAGCUAAUACCGCAUAACGUCGCAAGACCAAAGAGGGGGACCUUCGGGCCUCUUGCCAUCGGAUGUGCCCAGAUGGGAUUAGCUAGUAGGUGGGGUAACGGCUCACCUAGGCGACGAUCCCUAGCUGGUCUGAGAGGAUGACCAGCCACACUGGAACUGAGACACGGUCCAGACUCCUACGGGAGGCAGCAGUGGGGAAUAUUGCACAAUGGGCGCAAGCCUGAUGCAGCCAUGCCGCGUGUAUGAAGAAGGCCUUCGGGUUGUAAAGUACUCUCAGCGAGGAGGAAGGUGUUGUGGUUAAUAACCACAGCAAUUGACGUUACUCGCAGAAGAAGCACCGGCUAACUCCGUGCCAGCAGCCGCGGUAAUACGGGGGGUGCAAGCGUUAAUCGGAAUUACUGGGCGUAAAGCGCACGCAGGCGGUCUGUCAAGUCGGAUGUGAAAUCCCCGGGCUCAACCUGGGAACUGCAUCCGAAACUGGCAGGCUAGAGUCUUGUAGAGGGGGGUAGAAUUCCAGGUGUAGCGGUGAAAUGCGUAGAGAUCUGGAGGAAUACCGGUGGCGAAGGCGGCCCCCUGGACAAAGACUGACGCUCAGGUGCGAAAGCGUGGGGAGCAAACAGGAUUAGAUACCCUGGUAGUCCACGCCGUAAACGAUGUCGACUUGGAGGUUGUGCCCUUGAGGCGUGGCUUCCGGAGCUAACGCGUUAAGUCGACCGCCUGGGGAGUACGGCCGCAAGGUUAAAACUCAAAUGAAUUGACGGGGGCCCGCACAAGCGGUGGAGCAUGUGGUUUAAUUCGAUGCAACGCGAAGAACCUUACCUACUCUUGACAUCCAGAGAACUUAGCAGAGAUGCUUUGGUGCCUUCGGGAACUCUGAGACAGGUGCUGCAUGGCUGUCGUCAGCUCGUGUUGUGAAAUGUUGGGUUAAGUCCCGCAACGAGCGCAACCCUUAUCCUUUGUUGCCAGCGGUCCGGCCGGGAACUCAAAGGAGACUGCCAGUGAUAAACUGGAGGAAGGUGGGGAUGACGUCAAGUCAUCAUGGCCCUUACGAGUAGGGCUACACACGUGCUACAAUGGCAUAUACAAAGAGAAGCGACCUCGCGAGAGCAAGCGGACCUCAUAAAGUAUGUCGUAGUCCGGAUUGGAGUCUGCAACUCGACUCCAUGAAGUCGGAAUCGCUAGUAAUCGUGGAUCAGAAUGCCACGGUGAAUACGUUCCCGGGCCUCGUACACACCGCCCGUCACACCAUGGGAGUGGGUUGCAAAAGAAGUAGGUAGCUUAACCUUCGGGAGGGCGCUUACCACUUUGUGAUUCAUGACUGGGGUG
rnacentral:rRNA from 1 species